UUCUUUUUAAAGCUUCAAUUCUGAUGAACCAAAAGAACAAAGAUUUCCCUUCAGUGAAUUCGAUGAGAACAACCAACUCAAUGACUCAACAGACACACUGGAGGCAGAGGGAGGGUUUGGGAGUACAGUUUGACACUUCAUGCUCAGAAAUCUCCCAGAGAUAUGGUCCAGCUACUACAAUAGAGAGAGGUACAGGAGGAACAGAAGUGUUGGGCUACAGAGGUAUCUCCAUUCCUCUUCCAUCCUCAUCCUCUCAAUACUCAGGCAGCACCACGUUCCCAUUGGUCCAUCCCCAGGACGAGAGGACUCCAUUAGCUCACCAUGCAGAGAGAUUCACGUUCCCAUUGGCUCAUCAUUACACAGACGUGAGGACAGUCUUCCCAUUGGCUCAUCAGACUGAGAGGAUGGGACAUUCACUGAACUAUCAUUGGAAUGAGGGGAUAGAUUUCCAAUUGGCUCAUCACCAAACAGAUGAAAGGUUUCUAUUGGCUCAUCACAGGGAGAGGACUGGUGGUCCAUCGCUUAUGGGACAGAAUGUGUCUCCCCUUUUCUCGAAUCAGUGAAUGUCAGAGGCAAACAUUUAUACACACACACACAGCUCUAUGGCGCUGCUGAUUACUACUGGGCAGGGUAUGCAACAGAAUCAGCACAAAUACAUUCCAAUCAUGACUCAAUGUGCACGUUUAAAAGUAUUUUUUUUUACAGGUUAUUGCAACAUAUCUCAGUGAAAUUGAUGAGUUUCUGUUUUUAAAAGUAUUUUCAGUAAUAAAAAAAAUAAUUUGUAUUAGUUGUUAUUAGUCCUAUGUUGAUAUCCCCUCUGAAUUGUACCAUGUCAUAAUCUCUGAAGAUUUGAGUGACUACCAUUUUUAGGCAGGAGAGGGCGACAGAGUCCUAUGGAUACAUUAUUUCUCUCACUGCCAGACAAGUUAAUCAGCUUGUUUGAGGGAUUCAGUUUGAGCGAUCACAGAAUAACUAAUCUUGAUCACAUAAUGCAAAGUUAUUUUGGAUGCAAGGUGCUUUGUAGAUCAGUGAUUCUGCGCAGCCUGACUGCAAUGCAAUCCAUCUCCAACACACACAAUCUCUCUGAGAGAAAGAGGAAUGGUGACAGUGCAGUGGGGUAUCUAUUUUCUGUCAGUGCUCAGCAUCUCCCCCAGAAAGAGUCAAUCAAUCAAUCAUCUUAUUAUUUAUAAAGCCCUUUUUACAUCAGCAGAUGUCACAA